UACGAAGGGGGCUAGACGUUGCUCGGAAUCACUGGGCGUAAAGGGUGCGUAGGCGGGUCUUUAAGUCAGGGGUGAAAGUCCUGGAGCUCAACUCCAGUAACUGCCUUUGAAUACUGAAGAUCUUGAGUUCGGGAGAGGUGAGUGGAACUGCGAGUGUAGAGGUGAAAUUCGUGAGAUAUUCGCAAAGAACACCAGUGGCGAAGGCGG
rnacentral:rRNA from 1 species